rnacentral:rRNA from 1 species
UACAGAGGGUGCGAGCGUUAAUCGGAAUUACUGGGCGUAAAGGGCGCGUAGGUGGUUAGAUAAGUUGGAUGUGAAAUCCCUGGGCUUAACCUAGGAACUGCAUACAAUACUGUUUAACUGGAGUGCAGUAGAGGGUAGUGGAAUUCCUGGUGUAGCGGUGAAAUGCGCAGAUAUCAGGAAGAACACCAGUGGCGAAGGCGCGUCUCUGGGCACGUACUGAGAGCUGAAGGAGCGAAGGACAAUGGGGAUGCGUAACAGGAU